UACGUAGGGGUCGAGCGUUGUCCGGAGUUACUGGGCGUAAAGGGCGUGUAGGUGGUUACGUAAGUCUGGCGUGAAAUUUCUCGGCUUAACCGAGGCAGGUCGUCGGAUACUGCGAGACUAGAGGACGGUAGAGGCGUGUGGAAUUCCGGGUGUAGUGGUGAAAUGCGCAGAUAUCAGGAGGAACACCGGUGGCGAAGGCGGGUCUCUGGGCCGAUGACUGACGCUGAGGAGCGAAAGCGUGGGGAGCGAACAGG
rnacentral:rRNA from 1 species